rnacentral:rRNA from 1 species
GAUGAACGCUAGCUACAGGCUUAACACAUGCAAGUCGAGGGGCAGCAUUUCAUUUUGCUUGCAAAGUGAAGAUGGCGACCGGCGCACGGGUGAGUAACACGUAUCCAACCUGCCGAUAACUCGGGGAUAGCCUUUCGAAAGAAAGAUUAAUAUCCGAUAGCAUAUCAAUCCCGCAUGAGGUUGAUAUUAAAGAAUUUCGGUUAUCGAUGGGGAUGCGUUCCAUUAGUUUGUUGGCGGGGUAACGGCCCACCAAGACUACGAUGGAUAGGGGUUCUGAGAGGAAGGUCCCCCACAUUGGAACUGAGACACGGUCCAAACUCCUACGGGAGGCAGCAGUGAGGAAUAUUGGUCAAUGGGCGCAGGCCUGAACCAGCCAAGUAGCGUGAAGGAUGAAGGCUCUAUGGGUCGUAAACUUCUUUUAUAUGGGAAUAAAGUUUUCCACGUGUGGAAUUUUGUAUGUACCAUAUGAAUAAGGAUCGGCUAACUCCGUGCCAGCAGCCGCGGUAAUACGGAGGAUCCGAGCGUUAUCCGGAUUUAUUGGGUUUAAAGGGAGCGUAGGUGGAUUGUUAAGUCAGUUGUGAAAGUUUGCGGCUCAACCGUAAAAUUGCAGUUGAAACUGGCAGUCUUGAGUACAGUAGAGGUGGGCGGAAUUCGUGGUGUAGCGGUGAAAUGCUUAGAUAUCACGAAGAACUCCGAUUGCGAAGGCAGCUCACUAGACUGUCACUGACACUGAUGCUCGAAAGUGUGGGUAUCAAACACGG